CCCCUAGAUGUCCUGGGCCGCACGCGCAAUACAAUGUAAAGUUCAGAAAGCAUAUCCUGUUCCGGAAGGCAAUGGGUAAUCUUUUCAAUAUUUUACGUGUUAGGGAUCGAUCUUUGCAAUUAUAGAUCUUGAACGAGGAAUACCUAGUAAGUGCAGCUCAUCGGGCUGUACUGAUUACGUCCCUGCCCUUUGUACACACCGCCCGUCGCUCCUACCGAUUUCGAGUGGUCCGGUGAAUCUUUUGGAAUUAGAGUGCAAACUCAAACUAAGAUCGAUAAACCUUAUCACUUAGAGGAAGGAGAAGUCGUAACA
rnacentral:rRNA from 1 species